ACCUGUNUGAAUGGCAUCACGAGGGCUUAACUGUCUCCCCUCCCCAGUCAAUGAAAUUGAUCUCCCCGUGCAGAAGCGGGGAUAAUACCAUAAGACGAGAAGACCCUAUGGAGCUUUAGACGUCAGAGCAGCCCAUGUAAAGCACCCCUUAACAAAGGAAAAAACCAAAUGAAGCCUGCCCUAAUGUCUUUGGUUGGGGCGACCGCGGGGAAAUACAAAACCCCCAUGUGGAGUAGGAAUACACAUUCCUAAACCCAAGAGCUCCCGCUCUAAUGAACAGAAAUUCUGACCAAUAAGAUCCGGCACACGCCGAUCAACGGACCGAGUUACCCUAGGGAUAACAGCGCAAUCCCCUUAAAGAGCCCUUAUCGACAAGGGGGUUUACGACCUCGAUGUUGGAUCAGGACAUCCUAAUGGUGCAGCCGCUAUUAAGGGUUCGUUUGNUCG
rnacentral:rRNA from 1 species